UGACUGGCUGCCCGGCUGAGUGCACCAAAAAGCACAAAGCAUGGGGGCUCCUAGAAAGGAGAACCCCAAAGAGAGGAUAGGGGGUGAGGUGUGCCAGCCGCCUCAACCUCCCUGCCUGAGUUGGCGGAGGAUGUGCAAGGGCUGGACCAAUGCCUGGAUGCUGUAAUGGACUGGACGAAGGCCAAUAAACUUAAGAUGAAUAUCAAUCA